rnacentral:lncRNA from 1 species
AUCUUAAAUAAAUCUCAAUCAAGUCCUAAUUUAAUCCUAAUUAAAAUCCUAAUGGUCUUCAAUCAAACUCUAGGCCAAGUUAUAAAUCCUAAACAAAUCCUAAAUCCUAAAUUUUAAGCAAAUCCUAAAUCUUAAGCAAACCCUAAAUCCUAAAUCCUAAGAAAAUCCUAAACCAAAUCCUAAAUCCUAAUCCAAUCUU